rnacentral:rRNA from 1 species
GACGAACGCUGGCGGCGUGCUUAACACAUGCAAGUCGAACGGAAAGGCCUCUUUCGGGGGGUACUCGAGUGGCGAACGGGUGAGUAACACGUGAGUAACCUGCCCUUGACUUUGGGAUAACUUCCGGAAACUGGGGCUAAUACCGGAUAGGAGCUCCUGCUGCAUGGUGGGGGUUGGAAAGUUUCGGCGGUUGGGGAUGGACUCGCGGCUUAUCAGCUUGUUGGUGGGGUAGUGGCUUACCAAGGCUUUGACGGGUAGCCGGCCUGAGAGGGUGACCGGCCACAUUGGGACUGAGAGAAGGCCCAGACUCCUACGGGAGGCAGCAGUGGGGAAUAUUGCACAAGGGGUGGAAGCCUGAUGCAGCAACGCCGUGGGCGGGAUGACGGCCUUCGGGUUGUAAACCGCUUUCGCUCAUGACGAAGCUUUGUGUGACGGUAGUGGGUAAAGAAGCACCGGCUAACUACGUG